GAAGAAUCUAAAACCGAGGAAAGGAAACUACAUCGUGCAAGGUUUGAUAAAGCAUUGCUUUGUUUAGAGGAGUCUCAUCAGUUCAGCCACAUAUGGCUAAUGACAUUCUGGUUAACCGUGGGCCACAGUUAUGGCAGCCGUCAUGCAGAUAGCUCAGUGAAUACAGGUGCGUGCUGCUGCCAAGCCAGACAACUUGAGUCAGAUCCUGGAACCUACAGGGGGAAAGGGGAGAAUACACCCCUGAGGCUUGUUCUUUGACCCCACAUAUGCACUGUGACGAAAAUAUGUGACUACACGUGACCUACAAGCCUGCACAGCUAUGCACUUGUUUUGCUUCAAUAACAUAUGAACUAGUAUUGACACAUACUGGGAAUUAAUAUGCAUUCAAAGGAUUUCUUCAUAAGACAAUUUCCCCAUGCUUGCGGUGCACGGUGAGGAACGAGAGUGCUCUGCUCUUUACGCUCUUAUCCUGGACUGUGAUUAAAGCCACAUUAAUGCAAACAUGACUAAUUUGGAAUUUAUGGGAAUUCCAUUGAAGCUGAACUUAGCCAUUGUUCUCUGAAAAAAAAAUUAUUAAGAAAAUUACCACAUAAAAAAGGAUGCCAAAUGACUCCCUAGAGAGCCACAGAGACUUUCUGACUUCUAAGAGGCAUCCCAGAUACCACCAAAAAGGUACAAGCAUAACUAAAGCCCACG
rnacentral:lncRNA from 1 species